rnacentral:rRNA from 1 species
UAAUACGAAGGUGGCGAGCGUUGUUCGGAUUUACUGGGCAUAAAGGGCGCGUAGGCGGUUCCGCAAGCAGCGUGUGAAAUCCCACGGCUCAACCGUGGAACAGCGCGCUGGACUGCGGUUCUCGAGGACCGGAGGGGGGUAUGGAACUCUCGGUGUAGCGGUGAAAUGCGUAGAUAUCGAGAGGAACACCGGUGGCGAAAGCGGUACCCUGGCCGGUUUCUGACGCUGAGGCGCGAAAGCGUGGGUAGCAAACAGGAUUAGAUACCCUGGUAGUCCACGCCGUAAACGAUGAGGACUAGGUAGCCGUCGGAACCGACCGGGGGCUGCUGAAGGAAAUCCAUUAAGUCCUCCGCCUGGGGAGUAUGGUCGCAAGGCUG